rnacentral:lncRNA from 1 species
GAUAUUUCCCCAGAAACACUCACUCAUAUCAAUGGUCGUCCUGUUCUUCAACCAUGUAACAAUUCCCACAAAAAAUCACCUAAUUUCAAGAUUUCACCUUAUUCAAAAGUGAAAAAUUCUCCUCCUAUUUCUCCCAAAAUCAGGUCCCCUAGACAACAAUCUAUCAAGAAAGUGAACAAUGAUCCUAAUGGUUUUGGUUUAAAUACAAGUAGUGACAAAAUUGUGACACCCAAAAACCCAAAAGUGAAAAAUUCAACACUAACAACUACUCCUACUUCACCAAAAAUCAAGUCACCUAGACAACAACCUAUCAAGAAAGUGAAUGAUUCUAAUGGACAAAACCCAAGUAGUGACAAAAUUGUGACACCCAAAAACCCAAAAGUGAAAAAUUCAACACUAACAACUCCUCCUAUUUCACCGAAAAACAAGUCACCUAGACAGCCAGCAAUCAAGAAAGUGAAAAAUAUUAAUAAUUCUUCCAUCAUGGUUCUUGAAGUUGCUGGAAGCAUAGCAGCAGCAAGAAGGGAACAAGUUGCCAACAUGCAAGUGCAGAGGAAACAGAGAAUUGCACAUUAUGGAAGA